rnacentral:lncRNA from 1 species
CCCAAUCGGUACAGUACGAUAUGCUCCGUACUGCUCGAUUCAAGCCGGUACGGCAUACUAUGGUCUUAACAGAUAGUAUCUUCUAAUGUUUUCUUUUAUACAACACUUAAAUUAUAUAUUUUCGUUAAAAUUAUUUUUUCUACAUAUCUCCAUCUCCUUUUUUGACUCUUGCAUACACAGAUGUGUCCAAAUCUGAUUCUCAUGUUCAUGUCCAUGUAACAUUAUUUUAAUAGAUUUUAACUUAUGAGAUCAUUAUAUACAUACACAUAUACAUAUGUUUAUAGUUCUAAGGUUUGCAAUUGUGGUACCGGUGCCCACAAAAACAAGCACUUUUUUCUUUUUAGGUUCCAAGAGUUCGAAAACCAACCAAGCAGGUGACCACUGACUCAUUGCUUGACCUAGAGAGGAUUGUUUUCAAUAAUGCAGAUUAUGAAGUGAGAGUUUCAUGAAAUCAAGACUAAAUUUAAUGUACCACAUCUAUCAUGUCUUGUUUUUAUUUUUUGAUUAAAAGGCAAUCAAACAAUUGCUCUGUGCUCUUUGUUUAAUUUUUUUUAAUUCAAGAGAGCAGCUUAGUAAUUGCUCUUGCCUAGUAAUGGCAAUAUGUUAUCACCAAAUGUCUGAUUUUCCCUUUGCUUAGAAUCCAUGGUUUCCAAUGGCCUUCUUUGUUAAUGCAUUCAAAGCAAUAAAGACACUGCAAGUACUGUGUUAAUGAGGCAUUCCUUAAAAUGCAACCAAUAUCACCCAAUAAGCGCACAAAAAUUACUGAAAGCCUAACAUCCAAGAAAAUUGCUACAAUCAUCACAGAGAAAAGGUGUUCAUCAAUGGCGGCCCCCUUUGAUUUUUAACUAAGAAAUAAUGGUAAUCUUAUAGCUUUUGCCUCAUGUCGAAUAAAAGCAAGAGAACUUUUCAAUUUUAUCUUCUUAAAACUGCCAACAAAUAAAAAAAUAAAAUCGAAGUUGAGUACAAGUAGGACCAAUCAUAUCCCAUAACCACUAACCCUUAUCUCAACCAUUUGGGGUUGAUUUUCAGAUCCUUGUUCGCAAAAAAAUGUUACUGAGUAUUACUUUUAGCAUUAUUGCAAUCUUCUUCAAGUUCUUUCUCACACUUUUCAUCCAUGAUCUUAUGCCUUCUCCACAUUCUGAAUGAUUCAAGACAAAUUUUAGCACCUCAUCUCACCAAAACCUUCUAAGUUGUUACACACGCCCACACCCUCUCAAUUGCUCCUUCAUUGCAUUGUUUUCAAUUGAUGCAGGUCCCAUGACUCCUUAUCUAUCUGACA